GAUGGUAUUGGAUAUUACUGACUAGGUCAACAUUUUUGUCUUUCUUUUCCUCUUUGUUUUUGUGGUGCAUGUAUGCGUAGCCUGCUGACAUGCAUACCAAAUGCCCAAGUCCCUAUCAAAUUCCUCUCAAGUGUGGAGAGAUAGAUCUAGGCUUUAUUUAAUUAGUUAUGUUUUAUAAAUUAUUUGAUGGACACGUUAGUGGUGGGAGACUAGAGACUUCAAA
rnacentral:lncRNA from 1 species